UUUACUGUUGUUAGUUUGAUGAGAUUUUGUAUAGAAAGACGAGACGUAAACAUAUGUAUGUAGAUUGUAUUUUUUUUUUUACACACAUCUCAAUAAAUAUAUCUAGACUUUCAUAAUUUUCGAAUUUGGUCUAGUCAACCGGAAUUAUUGUGUGAAGCAAACAUUGCGAAUGUUUUUUGGCCUUGAGCACUUUAUAAUUGACUUUUUGUUUUGGCAAAAUUUGCAAACAAUGGCCAAAAGCUUAAAUGGAAUUUGUCAUUGGGUGAAAGUUGAGACGGGGCACAACUCCUCUGCGCAGAGUGCGAGAGGGAGGGGAAAGAGGUUGAAGAGCAGGCGAAUGAAUAAAAUCUAUGUAAGCCCGGCUCUAGCGGCACUUUUGAUGAGUAAUGCUAAAGAGCGGGAGGGAGCGAGACAGAAAGAAUGGUAUGCGAGAGUAAGAAGGGCGGAGCGACAUUGUUGUUUGUUAUAAAACACUUGGCACGUUUAUUGCUGGCUAAAGCUGUUGAGCCCAGCGCCCAAUGUAAAUGCAAAUGCAAAUGCAAUAAAAGCAACAACAACAACAGCAGCAAAAUAAUUAUAAUCGAAAAUGAAAGUGCUGUAUAAGACAAUGCACUUUAUAAGUAAAUAUUAUAAAUAAUUGCAUAAGGGAAGAGGAGGAGGUGGAGGAGGAGGAGGAGGAGGAAGCGACAUUGCAAUUGGAAUUGUCAAUGUCAAGGUGAAUGAAUAUAUUUUUGAUUGUUGGCGCUGAGGCGCGCAGUAGAGAAAUAGGAAAUGAGUCAAAACGUUGCCUUGCACAGUGGGGCAAAGAAGACAAUUUGGUAAAAUAAUAUUUUGUAUAAUAUAAAUACAACAUGAAAAGUUCUAUUUAAUCAACCGUUGCAACUCUCCCCACCAUCGUUUGCCUCAAAACAUUUGCUCACGUACUUCCACCGUUUAUAACUGGGUUUUUCUUUCUGAUUUCUGAUUAGAUUGAUGUCCUAACUUUAAAUAGGUCUGAUUCAGACAAACUUUCUCUUUCACAACAAUCGUUACUGAUGCUUUAUCAGCCAGUUGAGCUCACAGGUUUCACCAUUAUCUGUGCCAUUGUUAACACUGACAGCAUUAAGUGUUGCAAAAACAUUCAAGUCAAAUACUGCAAAAUGUUGCAAAGUAAAAGGCUCUUUGUUGAUAUAGAAAUAAAGAUAAAGCAAGAAUAUAUGUAUCUUUGUUGGGCAUACCUGACUGUCCGAUACUUGCUCCCAACUGAUGUAAAUCAAUUCAAAGAUAUUUCUAUAACCAAUUAAUCAUAGGUCUAACUGCAGGAAAAGCUCGUAAUCAGUAAAAAUUGUAUGAGUGGGUGUAACUACAUAUAUCCAUUAAUUUAUUUAUUUUUUCAUUCAACUUUAAAGAAAUGUUUGACUUUUUGUUUUCUUCACUCGCUUUUUAUCUCAUAAGUAAAUAUUGUUUAUCUCGGCGCUUUUUUUUUUCUACUUUUUCAUGGGGCUUACGGAUGCCUGACGUGUGUUAUCAGUGCGAAAUUAAUAGUGUUAGUGUUAUAAUUAACACAUAUUCACAUAGAUAUAUGUAUAUAUAGAGAGAGAGAGAGAGAGAGAGAGCGAGGCAUUGAUGGCGAUGGAAGAUAACUGAAUACGCUUAACGCAGUGGCAAUAUUUUGUUUGUUGACAUGAACUCCCGAUUGGCUCCAGUAUCUAUAAACAGCUUAACCCCGAUGAUUGAUUGAUUAAAGCCUAAGAGUUAAAUUGUAGGGUAGCAGCAAAUCGUUCAGCAACAGUCGUAUAUUUGAUUUCCUAGGGUAUCUUCACGUCGCAUCGUCGUUGAUUGAUCAGAAGUUAGUUAGGAUAUCUGCCAGUUGAUCGGGAAAGUAGAUAAAAACAUGUAGACAAGUUUUUGAGACUGAUUGAUUGAUUGACUAAGGUAUCUGGUAGUCGCUCAUGCAGUUAUCAGUCAGAUGGUUGACUUGAUAGGGUAUCUGCUAGUCGAUUCUGCCUGUUUAUGCUUCUUUUAUGUGUGUUUGGCUUAUCGUCGCUUCAUACGUACAUAUGUCUGCAUAUUUUUUAGCUUUCGAUAAGAGCGGAGUGUGAAGGGCAAAACCACGAUUAUCUUAUUAGAAACGCGUCAGCUGCCGGAGUACUGAUUAUAAUUAUUAUUAUUGUUGCUCUUCGCAUUUGUAAUAUAUUGUCAAGGGGUUAAUCAGAGUUCAGCAAGAUUGUAAUUGUAAUUGUAAUGGUAAUUGUUGAUUAAAUACAAAAUGUUCUUAUCAAUCGCAGUCGGAAAUCAUUUGGAAUACAUUUUGAUUAACAUCGCGCUGUUAGCAGAAGAAGAAGCAGAAAUGCAAACAAAUAAUUAAUGAUUAUGUUAACGGUAAGUAUGUGCGGUCAGACAAACUGACAGACUGUUCACGUGCAAGCCGAAUGAAUGCGACACCAGCAGCAGCAGCAACAGCAACAGCUGGUUGAUGGCAAAGAUAAGCGAUGGGGAAAGGAAUGUUUGGCGAGAAUAGAAGUGGAAGAGGAAGACAGCAACGAGAGCAAUGAGUGCACGAGAUAUAUAAGGUGAAAGAGAGCGAGAGAGGUAGGGAGAGGCAGGUAGAGGCUGCAUGCCAAUUGGAAUAUGUGAAAUCUAGUUCUGUUAGUAAAGAUAGACAAAUUGCAGAUAACGGUAUGCAUAUGAAAAGAGAAUGAGAUACAUGUAUGAAGAGAUGGAAUGAGAUGAAUGAAGAGAGAGCGCAAGAUUAAGAGAGGAGAUGUUGAUGAGGAGGUUGAGAAUAAAAAAGAGACAGGGGUAGUAUAAAUACGAUCUAUUCAAGCAGCAAAAUGAAUCCGAUUGGACAAUGUCGUUAAUGUGAAUGAUCUUGAGGCAAUGGGCAAUGAGCUAUAAAUUCUGGUUAAGCACUUGGAAAGGAUUCCAGCUAGAGUAGCACUGGAAAGUUUUGGAAAGCUGUUGUGAUUGCAAUCAAAUGUUUUUGUUUUUGUUUGUGUUCUCUUCCCUCUCCUCUCUCCUCUCUUCUCUCUUCAUGCAUUGGCGUGAGCUCGCCUAUCGCCUGUUUCAGAUCGCUAAUCGCAGGUCAAAUUUGGUUUCUAGUGACGCAUUUCCAUUUGUAUUGCUGCUGCCAGCCCUAAUCAGUAUAUUCACCACAAAUCUAUAUUAGAGAAGACGUAUAGAAUAUGUGUAUGUAUGCGUAUGUACGUAAUUAUAUGAAUAUGCAAAUUGUCAGGCUGCGGCUCUUCUGACUAUUGUUCAAUUGCACUUGGAGUCACUUAAGUGUAUCCCCCUCCCUCAUUCGUAGCCCUGCCCUAGAGCCUUUCAGUCCAGUUGGCAUCUUGCGCAAGCGGGCGAUUGCAAACUAGUUCACACACACACACACACGCACGCGCGCGGAGAGAUAGAUAGAUUUGCUGCCAAUCAGAAUCAAAGCGAAAAAUCGCGCCAUUUGAUUUCGAAUUUUUUUUAUACUUUUUUUUUGCGUAGUUUUCGUUUUACAGCUACUUUUUAUGUGUGGUGUUGUUGUUGUAGUUUUUCGCGUUGCUUUUCGUUUGAUUUGUUGACCUCUGUCGUUGCCGGCAAGCAAGCAGGCGAGCAAGCAAGCAAGCAAAAAGUUUACAGUUACAAACUGCGCUGCCGACUGCGCAGCUGGUAGUGCUGCUGCUGCUGCUGCUGCGUAACAAUUUCGCUUCGCUUCAAACUUUUUGCAUUUAGUGCACAAUUUUUAGUAUUGCCGCAUUGAGCGUUGUGUCUGCUGCUAUACAGAUUUUUUCUCUCACUUCAUCUUUAUUUUUUAUGUUUUUUCUUUAGUGUUUAUAUUGUUGUUGUUAUUGUUCUCCUUAUAAUUUUGCGCUCGCGCGUUUGCAUCUAUCUCGCUCGCUCGCUCGCUUGCUCGCGCUGCUUUACAACUUUAAACUUGGUCGCAGCUAGCAACAACAACAACAA
rnacentral:sRNA from 1 species